CCCACUUUAUUCUUUCUGACGCACAGUAGGUAGAGCAAUCGGCUGUUAACCGAUCGGUCGCAGGUUCGAGUCCUGCCUGUGGAG
rnacentral:tRNA from 1 species